GGGAUUUUCGUAUAAUGGUAGUACUUAUGACUUUUAAUCGUAAUGGAGGGGGUUCGAAUCCCUCAGGUCCUA
rnacentral:tRNA from 1 species